AUCAGGAAGUACCAGUGUCCCGGUUGUCUCUGUGGUACUGCUGCUCAGAUUCUUUCCCGAAACUUUUCUGUCUUGUGUGGCUCGUCUAUCACCGAAGUUUCUGAGACCGGAAGAAGGAGCCAUGGUGUGAUUGAUAAUUAACGCCUGCAGGUAUGUGGCACAGAAGAUCCGUGCUGCCUUCAGGGACCAGUCGGAAAACGUGAGUGCCCCCUCCUGACGACAGGCCAAAGGAGAGAAGUCCUGCGUGAUGAGCCCUGACCCAGGGGCUGUAGACCCCUAUCGGACCAGCAGCUCUGAUCAGGCCAUGGUGCAGAAGACCUCCUCCUGAUCGUAAUGCUCCAGGAAUGGGACCCCUGCUCCUCUUGUAGUAGAGGAGAUGCAUGUGAUUUGUGGUGGGCAGCAGAGAGAAUGAAGAACUGCUCCUCAGGCCUGUGAGACCGGGGCAGCUCGGAGCUAACCAUUGUCGCUCUGUGAUUAAUAAAAGUCCUCAUCCAC